AGCAUUUACGUGGGAUAACAAUAUCCUAAUAGAAUCGUGCCAUUCACAGAAUGAGUUUAACAUGUUGUUAAAAUGACUGCCACCUGACAAAGAUAGAAGAGAGAACCAGAGUGGCCACCAGUGUUCAGGCAUCCAAGAACACACAAUUAAAACAGGACAACAGAAGCUUGCCAGAUGUGUGAGUGAGAGGCAAGUGGAGGUACAGUGUUCUGGAGCCGGUGAAAUGCUGGGAAAGCAUUUCUUUCUGAGAAAUCUUGACAUAAGAGGAAAGGACAGGUAAGGAUAUAUUCACUUUGGC